rnacentral:rRNA from 1 species
GUUUGAUCCUGGCUCAGGAUGAACGCUGGCGGCGUGCCUAAUACAUGCAAGUCGAGCGAAUGGAUUGAGAGCUUGCUCUCAAGAAGUUAGCGGCGGACGGGUGAGUAACACGUGGGUAACCUGCCCAUAAGACUGGGAUAACUCCGGGAAACCGGGGCUAAUACCGGAUAACAUUUUGAACUGCAUGGUUCGAAAUUGAAAGGCGGCUUCGGCUGUCACUUAUGGAUGGACCCGCGUCGCAUUAGCUAGUUGGUGAGGUAACGGCUCACCAAGGCAACGAUGCGUAGCCGACCUGAGAGGGUGAUCGGCCACACUGGGACUGAGACACGGCCCAGACUCCUACGGGAGGCAGCAGUAGGGAAUCUUCCGCAAUGGACGAAAGUCUGACGGAGCAACGCCGCGUGAGUGAUGAAGGCUUUCGGGUCGUAAAACUCUGUUGUUAGGGAAGAACAAGUGCUAGUUGAAUAAGCUGGCACCUUGACGGUACCUAACCAGAAAGCCACGGCUAACUACGUGCCAGCAGCCGCGGUAAUACGUAGGUGGCAAGCGUUAUCCGGAAUUAUUGGGCGUAAAGCGCGCGCAGGUGGUUUCUUAAGUCUGAUGUGAAAGCCCACGGCUCAACCGUGGAGGGUCAUUGGAAACUGGGAGACUUGAGUGCAGAAGAGGAAAGUGGGAUUCCAUGUGUAGCGGUGAAAUGCGUAAGAUAUGGAGGAACACCAGUGGCCGAAGGCGACUUUCUGGUCUGUUACUGACACUGAGCGCGAAGGCUGGGGAGCAACAGGAUUAAAUCCCUGGUAUCCCGCCCUAACAA